CACCAGGUCUGUUCCCUGAAUACUCAAACUCCAUUGGUUAACACAAAAAAUAUAACUUUCCCAUGGCUUUGGUCAGUGAAAAAUAUUUUUUUAACAAAUUCCCACUUUCUGUUCUAACUGCUGUUUCUCAACCACCCAUAGUCUCGUUUCAAACACUAUGAAAUGACAAUAUCUUUUCCUUGUUUGAGCUGGUAUCUUACUCAAAACUGUACAGCUGGAUAGCUUAAAUAUUGCUCACUAUUCUUGCUGCACUUCCCUCUAGCUUACAGCCCCUCACACCCCCAACCUAACAUUAACAGUGCAACAGUUUUGGGCCUGAUGUCAGCUCGGACGAGGAAAACAAAGACGACCAUGGAUCCAUUUGUCUGCAAGGAAGCACCAGAAUGGAGUAGAGCAGGGAGCUUGUGACCUUGCCGAUUGGAAUGAGUCACAGCUUCAAGCUUUCUCCAAUGUCAAUUUUUCCUCUGCUCCUGAUUCACAACAAUUUGUACAAAGAAAUGCUCAGAAAUGCAAUUUACACCUUAAUUUUCUUUAUACCUGCCUACAAAUAUGCUGAAAGAACAUGUUAAAAACACAGUUUUCAUUGGAGUGACUUUUUAAAGGAAAGUUAAACAUUCAAUGGAAAAGAUUUUUUUUCAUGCUCUGUUACAAACUAAGAUUGAUUAUGUUUAUAAUCUUCUAUUCCUCAAGAUCUUAUGUAUUUUAUUUGAUUAUAUUAAAUCUCCUGUUUAGAGUUACUAUCGUUAGAAUAUCAGAAUAGCAUAUAUUUAUAGUUGUUGUCUGGGGUUCCAGCAGGGGGCAGUGUUGUAACAACAAGACAACAAAACGCUGCUGAGAGUCAGCGAAGAAGAGCAGCGACACAGGAGGAAGCUUUCCAGCUGUCUCCCCUCGACUUCUACUCAAGAAAACAGUACAUUUUAGUGUUUUGAAAGGCGUGAAGACACCGAUGAGCGCCAUGUCCCAGAAGAGAGACCUUAGAGUCUCCCCUUCGGUUCCCAGAAUCCGUGACGACUCCAGACUCAUGCGCAUGCACGAGUCCAUGGUGGAUUACCUGACCGGGCGCUCCACCUGCGGUACCUUCAUGCACAUGCUCGCUCCCUCUUUUUUCGGUUUAAAUGUUUUUGAGACGUUUGGGGACGACCUGGUCUAUUCAGAGGAGGAGGACGAGGGUCUGCACUCCCAUCUCUUUAACUCUUUAGAGCCACACCCACAAAUCCGGCAGCUGAAUGACGAGGAGGAGGCUGCGUUUACCAAAGAGGAGAGGGAGGAGGACGCUCGCCGCAGGGACCGGGCUGAGAAGAAUAAGCGGAAAAAAAUGGUGGGCAUCUCCACGCCAGCUUUGAAAAUGGCCGCAUCGACGGAUGCCCCUGACAUGAGUGUUUUCAUCUGUUGCAGCGUAAAAAAGCAAAGAAACGUCUGGAAAAAGAAAACGCACUCAGAGACACGUCACUUGUGAGUUGAUGUGAAUUAUUUCAGCUGGUUUCAAAAGCAUUUCGGCCGUCGUGACGCUCACCAUCCAUCUUUGCCCUUUCAGGUGGAAAAUCAUGACGACGAAGACUCAGAAAAUCCAGAGUCACCUUUUAACCUCGAUGAAAACUCUCAGAGGACUGCUGAGGCAACAGGAAGUGAUGAAGCUGGCAAAGAAGAUGAUGUGAGAGCGAAGAAGAACGGACGCCAUCUGUUAAAGGUCUGUCCGUUCUGCAGUGUGCAAAAUGUUUAUUUCAUUUAAACUUGAAGAAACUCUUAGAUUGAUCGUUCUGAUGAGGCCCAGCUAGACAUGUCGUCUGCGACCCGCUCUGUGACCCCCGGUAUCGCUAGGACCGCUUUUCUCUGCAUUAGAAUCCGGUGAUUCAUGUUGAUUGCAUAAUCACUGUUGUGCAUAUCGGUGCUUUUCUCCGUCUCAGAAUCUGCUGGAAUUAUGUUAAAUGUGGAAACGGUUGAAGAGUUUUGGUGGUCAAGAGAAUGCAAACAGUGGAGCUUUACCGGUGGUAAAGGUUCAGGGACCUGCCUUGGUAACAGGGUGCUGUGGAUUUUUGGGCUGUCUGGGUCCGUAGAGGGCUGUUGAGAGGAGUGGCUGCAUCUUAAGAGGAGAGCAGGUGUAUCUUUCAGGUUCCUUACGGCUCCUGCGUCCACCUCAUGAAAGUGGAAUAUACCACUGCCGUGCGUGUGGUGAGUGUAUCGUCAAACACUCGUAAGGAUAAUGGAGGCUGCACACUUGAUGCUGUGGCACAGUGUCCUUUACGGCAGCACUCCAGUCAUUAGGAAGGUGUGUGCACUGGCUCCUACUGAGCAUGUGCAAGGAUGCACGCACGGCAUGAACAUCAGUCCACUGCUGGUCUGCUGAAGGGCCUACAGGAAAAUGUUCAUAAUCCUACUGAGAUUAAGGAAGUUCAGUCUGCUCUUCAAGUCUUCAGGCUGCAGUUUGUGAUUGUUUCAGGAGUUCCUCCCUCCAUGUCCAUGCCUGUGGCCCUUUCAGCAAACCUUUCUCACGGUGUGACCAGCUUCCUGCAGCCUCCUGGUGCUGCUCUAACCCUUGUGCUGUCCUAGACACUUUAACACUGGGAGUUGGGUCAUCUAGACUCUACAGUGUUUUUCAACCAGUGUGAGAUGGUCAAGUGUGCCGUGGGCAAUGACCCAUUUUCACUAAUCUAAAAGCAUUUCCCAUCUCCAGGAUUUCAGCUCUGUGUUCAUCCAAACAGGUCCUGAUAAAACACUGAGGAGUUAGGAGUAUAAAAGAUCAUAAAAUACUUUUUUAUUUGUGUUUGAUUCUAUUAUAGACAUUUGGAUAAGAAUGACAGUACCGUGAUUUAGCUGUAGCUAAAGCUGUUUUUGGAAAAGUCCCGCCCCUUUAACUGUCUCCGCCAAUCAUUCUUGGAGUCUUAAUCACGUCAUCAGUCUGACCAAUCAGAAGUGGUUAAAGUCUUCACUUCCUUGUUCAGAUUCUGC
ensembl:lncRNA